rnacentral:rRNA from 1 species
AGAUUGAACGCUAGCGGGGAUGCCUUACACAUGCAAGUCGAACGGCAGCACGGACUUCGGUCUGGUGGCGAGUGGCGAACGGGUGAGUAAUAUAUCGGAACGUGCCCAGUAGCGGGGGAUAACUACGCGAAAGCGUAGCUAAUACCGCAUACGCCCUUAGGGGGAAAGCAGGGGAUCGCAAGACCUUACACUAUUGGAGCGGCCGAUAUCGGAUUAGCUAGUUGGUGGGGUAAAGGCUCACCAAGGCUUCGAUCCGUAGCUGGUUUGAGAGGACGACCAGCCACACUGGGACUGAGACACGGCCCAGACUCCUACGGGAGGCAGCAGUGGGG